AACACGGACCAAGGAGUCUAACGUGCGCGCGAGUCGCGGGGUUCGAGCGGUUGGCGGCGUUCGCUUGCGGGCGUCGUCGGCCGUUCGUUACAAUACGAAACCCGUCUCGUUUUACGAAAGGCGCAAUGAAAGUGAAUUUUGGGGAAGAUGACGUUACCGAGUUCACGUUCCGCGCUCUCGAAGCGCGGCCGGUCGUCCGCAUUCCCAGGGCGUCCCAAUGGCCCGGCGGCGUUGCGGACUGUCGUUCCUUCGGGGGCGGCGGUCGGGCGUCGUCGAACCGGGGCGCAGCUAUCGCGUGCACGUUGGUACCCGAAAGAUGGUGAACUAUGCCCGGCCAGGAUGAAGUCAGGGGAAACCCUGAUGGAGGUCCGCAGCGAUUCUGACGUGCAAAUCGAUCGUCUGAGCUGGGUAUAGGGGCGAAAGACUAAUCGAACCAUCUAGU
rnacentral:rRNA from 1 species